rnacentral:rRNA from 1 species
UUGGAGGGCAAGUCUGGUGCCAGCAGCCGCGGUAAUUCCAGCUCCAAUAGCGUAUAUUAAAGUUGUUGCAGUUAAAAAGCUCGUAGUUGAAUUUCGGGAUCAAUGUUUCGGUCAUGCCGUUGGUAUGUACUGAUAUUAUUGGUUUCUCACCUUCUAAAGAACCGUAAUGCCAUUAAUUUGGUGUCACGGGGAAUUAGGACUGUUACCUUGAAAAAAUUAGAGUGUUUAAGGCAGGCUCACGCUUGAAUACAUUAGCAUGGAAUAAUGAAAUAGGACAUCCGAUUCUAUUUUGUUGGUUUCUAGGAUCGAUGUAAUGAUUAAUAGGGAUAGUUGGGGGCAUUAGUAUUCAAUUGUCAGAGGUGAAAUUCUUGGAUUUAUUGAAGACUAACUACUGCGAAAGCAUUUGCCAAGGAUGUUUUCAUUAAUCAAGAACGAAAGUUAGGGGAUCGAAGACGAUCAGAUACCGUCGUAGUCUUAACCAUAAACUAUGCCGACUAGGGAUCGGAUGAUGUUAAUUUUUUAAUGACUCAUUCGGCGCCUUACGGGAAAC